ACCACACAGCCAGAGCUCAGAGCCUCAGCCAAGGCAUGCUGAAAUCAGAAGGGCUCUGCAUGGAACAGUGAGCCCAUUUGCAUGAUUGUCUUGCAGGAUGCGGGCUGAACUACCAUAUCCCAGGUGCCUCACAUUGACUUUUUCUCCCCAAGAAUGGCCUAUUUUGUGAACUGAAAUGCUGUUGCUGCUGGAUUAGGACACUAGGAAUUGAAGCACAGAGCUGCCACUGCACAAUCCCCCCCUUUGCAACCCUAUAGCACCUAAGGUGUUUGUGCAACACCCUCUGCAGCUACCUGGCUUGACUCUGACAGGCUCUGGUGAAGCUCUGCUGUGCACCAGGCAGAGAUGCCAAGGACCAACAGGAUGGUUUGGGCUAUGGGCCCAUCUCCACCAGCGUGGGAUAGGGCAAGGACCUUGAUAGGGUUGUACAUGGCCCUGGUGCAGCCAGAGAGGUCCAUCACCAUCAGCCCAUGCAGCCUCCUGUUGCCCCAGCCACAUGUGAGCCCCACGAGCCCCAGCCACGGAUCUAUGGAGAACCAGACUUGGAGAGAGCUCAAAUUAAAGUUCCUGCAGAAUCAACAAGGUCUUGGGGUCCUGCAGUUCCUGCGGCACUGGUGGAAGGAGCAGCUUUGUAGACAUGGAGCUUGUGACACAAACUAACAGCAGCCUCGCAACAGAGAGGGGAUUUACCUUUGGCUAGAGAUGAUGAUUUAUGGGUAAAAAUAACACCUACCUGCUCCAAAGGCUGGUGCAGCGUGCAGGAAUCCCCCCAGUCCUGAGCUCCAAGCCUGCCUGCUCGCACAACGGCUCUCCAGGGGCUUGUUGGCAGAUGGAUAAUGGGGUCUGAAGACAUAAUUCCCUGCAAUUGACCCAAGGAUGUGGCGUUUCCAUGAGUGACCCUGACUACAGCUUCUUGCUCUCUGCUGAAGUGUCCUCCAGAAGAGGCUCAGGGAGCUUUUCACCUGGGGGCUGCUCGAGCUGCUGAGUGCUGGGGUGGAAUGGGUGCCCACUGCAUCCUUCUGGGACCUCACAUGGACAAACUCCCAAAGCUAUGGCAGCUCUCUGAGCGUCACAGCCCCUUGUGCAGAUGCCACACCAGCGGCUCCUACCCAGGGCUGCAUAGGAGCUCUGGCUGCAUCCCCAAAUUGCAUCAAUCUGGCAGGCACAGGGGACUCAGCUAAAAUCACAUUUGCACAGUCCCUGUCUUGCGUACUGGUGCACCCAGCUUGUCUCCUGUUUCAACAGCCCCAUGGAGAAGACCAAUUAUUACUGCCCUAAGAGUUAUUAUUCUUCUUAAUAAAAGAUGCAAGUUAAGUGAAUGGGAAAGUGUCCU